rnacentral:rRNA from 1 species
CACGUAGGGCGCAAGCGUUGUCCGGAAUUAUUGGGCGUAAAGAGCUCGUAGGCGGUCUGUUACGUCUGCUGUGAAAACCCAGGGCUUAACCCUGGGCUUGCAGUGGAUACGGGCAGACUAGAGGCAGGUAGGGGAGAAUGGAAUUCCCGGUGUAGCGGUGAAAUGCGCAGAUAUCGGGAGGAACACCGGUGGCGAAGGCAGUUCUCUGGGCCGUAACUGACGCUGAGGAGCGAAAGCGUGGGGAGCGAACAGG